AUUGAACGCUGGCGGCAGGCCUAACACAUGCAAGUCGAGCGAGCGGCGGACGGGUGAGUAAUGUAUGGGGAUGUGCCCAAUAGAGGGGGAUAACUACUGGAAACGGUGGCUAAUACCGCAUACUAUCGGAUAGGCCCAUAUGGGAUUCGCUAGUAGGUGGGGUAAAGGCUCACCAAGGCGACGAUCCGUAGCUGGUCUGAGAGGAUGAUCAGCCACACUGGGACUGAGACACGGCCCAGACUCCUACGGGAGGCAGCAGGGGGGAAUAUUGCACAAUGGGGGAAAGCCUGAUGCAGCCAUGCCGCGUGUAUGAAGAAGGCCUUCGGGUUGUAAAGUACUUUUAGCAGGGAGGCGUUAUCCGCAGAAGAAGCACCGGCUAACUCCGUGCCAGCAGCCGCGGUAAUUC
rnacentral:rRNA from 1 species